GAUGAACGCUGGCGGCGUGCCUAAUACAUGCAAGUCGAGCGAACAGACGAGGAGCUUGCUCCUCUGACGUUAGCGGCGGACGGGUGAGUAACACGUGGAUAACCUACCUAUAAGACUGGGAUAACUUCGGGAAACCGGAGCCAAUACCGGAUAAUAUAUUGAACCGCAUGGUUCAAUAGUGAAAGACGGUUUUGCUGUCACUUAUAGAUGGAUCCGCGCCGCAUUAGCUAGUUGGUAAGGUAACGGCUUACCAAGGCAACGAUGCGUAGCCGACCUGAGAGGGUGAUCGGCCACACUGGAACUGAGACACGGUCCAGACUCCUACGGGAGGCAGCAGUAGGGAAUCUUCCGCAAUGGGCGAAAGCCUGACGGAGCAACGCCGCGUGAGUGAUGAAGGUCUUCGGAUCGUAAAACUCUGUUAUUAGGAAAGAACAAAUGUGUAAGUAACUAUGCACGUCUUGACGGUACCUAAUCAGAAAGCCACGGCUAACUACGUG
rnacentral:rRNA from 1 species